UACGUAGGGUGCGAGCGUUGUCCGGAAUUAUUGGGCGUAAAGAGCUCGUAGGCGGUCUGUCGCGUCGGUCGUGAAAACUUGGGGCUUAACCCUGAGCUUGCGGUCGAUACGGGCAGGCUAGAGUUCGGUAGGGGAGACUGGAAUUCCUGGUGUAGCGGUGAAAUGCGCAGAUAUCAGGAGGAACACCGGUGGCGAAGGCGGUUCUCUGGGCAUUACCUGACGCUGAGGAGCGAAAGCGUGGGGAGCAAACAGG
rnacentral:rRNA from 1 species